rnacentral:lncRNA from 1 species
CAUAAGAUGGAUAUGAACGAAAAUUCAUUCCACUCCCACUACUAGUUGUAGAAGAAACUGAAAUGAAAUGUAGAAGAAAAAAAUCAUCAGAAACAUGAAAAGAACGAAACUUUGAUAAGAAAAACCCAAAAAGAAGAAAUAAUAACCUGGAAAAAUAGGAGAGAACCGUAGGAAACCCAUAGAAGAACCGUGCAGGAAACCCAAAGAAGAAAAAAAUCAUCAGAACACAAGAAAAGAACGAAACUUUGAUAAGAAAAACCCAAAAAGAAGAAAUAAUAACCUGGAGAAAUAAGAGAGAACCGCAGGAAACCCCAAGAAGAACUGUGCAGGAAACCCAGAGAAGAAAAAAAUCAUCAUAAAAAUGAAAAGAACGAAACUUUGAUAAGAAAAACCCAAAAAGAAGAAAUAAUAACCUGGAGAAAUAGGAGAGAACCGCAGGAAACCCAGAGAAGAAUCGUGCAGGAAAACCAAAGAAGAAAAAAAUCAUCAGAAACAUGAAAAGAACGAAACUUUGAUAAGAAAAACCCAAAAAGAAGAAAUAAUAACCUGGAGAAAUAGGAGAGAGAAAACCACAGGAAACCCAAAGAAGAACAACGCAGGAAACCCAUAGAAGAACCGCAGGAAACCCAGAGAAGAACCGUGUAGGAAACCCAAAGAAGAAAAAAAUCAUCAGAAACAUGAAAAGAACGAAACUUUGAUAAGAAAAACUCAAAAAGAAGAAAUAAUAACUUGGAGAAAUAGGAGAAAACCACAGGAAACCCAAAGAAGAACAACGCAGGGCACCAGAGAAGAGAAACCGGGGAAGUUGAAAAAUAGGAGAGAGAGAAACAAUGAAAGUAUAUAAAGAAGGAGAGUAUUUAAAGAAAUGGGGUUUUGCACACGUGUAAGUCAUAUAGAGUGCCACUUGUCACUCCCAGAAUGAGUUUCAGCUUGCUAUUUUUAGUUAAAAUUUGAAUUUUUUUCUUUUUGAAUUUUUUUUAGAACUUACUCCGAAAGUGCCUUCUAUUUGUAUUAUAGAUAGAUAGAUUGGUUUACAACUUACAUAAAUUUAUUACUGAAUAAAUAAUUUUAAUUUUAUGCUAUAAAAAUUACACAAUAUUUUUAAUUUAGUUAAAAAUUACAUAAAUAUCUUAUAAUAUAUGAAUAAUGGAUAUAAAAAUUAUAGUUUUGUAAAAUUAAAAACAUUAUUAGAAACUCACACCAAAUUUUUGUUUGAUUAAAAAUGAGAAUUUAAGAAUUGUUUUUAUAAAAAUUUAAAACAUAAAAUAAACAUACUAUAUAAGACUUAGAAAGAUAUUGUAGCUUUGAAAUAGAGCAUAGCCCAAUAAAAGGUGUCGGGCAAAGCCUCCGUUUUUCCCAAUUAAAAAUAAAAGAGAGCAUUAAUAAAAAAAAAAAUAAAAUCUGCACUUCAAUUAAAUUAAAAAAUUCAAUUUGAAACCUGCAGUCCAAUAAAAAAAAACAGAACCUAAUUUCCUAAAUCACACUACUUAACAAACCCUAAUUUUACACCAUCUAUCUCUAACCUUUGAUCGACACCUCCGGCAUCACCGUCGAUCUACAACCCUUGACCACCGCAAUCGCCGCACGAACGUACAAACCGCCACCUCCAAGCGACCUAACCGCCACCACCGGGCGACCGCUGCGCUCGAUUGCCACCACCGCCGCACUUGUUCAGAGAAGACGCAUCACCUCCCCGCAGUCCACAGAAGACGCAAGGUGAAACGAAAACGAAAGGCGAAACGCUAAAGGUCAGUUUAUUUCAUUAAUUUUCCCAUUCAGAAGUAUAGCGUUUUAGGUUAAAACGAAAACCCACAGGACUCGCGAGUUUGAGCGAGUUAACCGAGUUCAGUCCGAGUCUAGUCCGAGUCUGCUGAGUUUACUAAAUAGUUGAGUUUACUACCGAGUUAACUCGACAAAAGUAUGCGAAAAUCUGAUAAGGCUAUGCAAAAACCUGAACUCGGAUGAAUCAACUAGAGUUGACUCGCUAGUUUCACAAUCAUGCUGCUAACAUUUUCCAACAAGAGUAAACAGUCAUUGACACCUUUUAUUCAGCUAUUGUCUAUUUCAAGACUACAAUAUCUUUCAAAUCUUAUAUAGUACAUUUAUUUUAUGUUUUUAAUUUUUAUAAAAACAAUUC